AUGGUUCAGACUGAUAGACACAUGGUCUUUCCUUUGGUAUAUCGUCUUAUUGAGUUGAUAUUGAUUUUGCCUGUUGCAACCGCAUCAGUGGAAUGAGCUUUCUCAGCUAUGAGUAUUAUCAAGACUAAGUUGAGAAAUAAGAUUGGUGAUGAUUGGUUGAACUAUUCCAUGGUGUGCAAUAUUGAGAGAAAAAUAUUUGCAAAGGUUGAUGAUGAUGCUAUUAUAUACCGCUUUCAAUCCUAUAGAUCUCGCAAAGGAACUUUACCUCGUCGUGGUAGUAAGUUUUCAACUUUGUACAAUGUUAAUUGUUUCACUUGA
rnacentral:rRNA from 1 species